GUGGGAAUGUUAUGAACAACCAUACUAUCAUGGAUCCUUCAAAAAUUCCCUUCUCUAUUAUGUAUAUACCCCUCCCCUUCUAAAAGGAAUCUAUGUUUCUAAUAAUUCCUGAAAUACUCAUUGAGUUUUAAAGAAAAAAAUUUCUUUUGAGAUCAGAAAUUUCUCCCUCUACUUUUCUCUCCUCCACUUUCACCCAUAACCACCAUCAGCACCAUUUUCUCCGCCGCCGCAACCACUACCAACAUCACAACAUCUUCGGUACUACCAUCACCAUCUCUAUCGCCACCGUAAAUAACACUUUACAUCCUUAGGAUUGAAAGAGAGAAACAAAUCGUCAUCGGAAAUCAUUUUAGAUUCAAAAACCGAGAAAUUUGAUAAUCUUCAUCAACAGUUUAGCAUCAUCACCAUGAUCUUCUUCUUCUUGGUUUGUCGGUGAUUUUAGAUAUCAGAUUCAGUUUCGGUAGAUCGAGAGAUCUGAUUAUAAGUUUCAUUUUCUGAAUAAUUGGAAGGAAAGCAAAGACCGGUGAUAACGUUCUAAAGUCGCCACUGGUUUUGUUGUAGAAGGAGAAAGGUGUUGCGGCAGCUAGACCUGAUGUCAAAUCAGGUGCUGGUGACAUGGAAAGGAAACUAGUAUAUUUUCGGAGAGUUUACAACAGAUAAUUUAUUGUGUGGGAUUGUAGAGAUGAUGGGGAUCGAAAUGUAGUUAUGGAACUGUUUAUGGAUCAUUUCAGAUGCGGUGGAGAAGCAAACAGAACAGGUUGGUCUUACUUAAACUGGUCAGAAUGUGAACAAGCGAUAAUGGAAAGUUAAAUUUGCUGAAUAUUUGUUCUGGGUUUGUUUUUUUGUUUAGUUCAUCAGUGUUUUCCACAAGGAAAGAUAAUUUAAGUAGUUAAUUAACAACAUUUCAUGAAUAACUAUCUUCUUUGUUUAAAAUUUGUUAGUUCAUAGGUUUUGAAGUUGUUCUAAUUCCUUUUCCCUACUUUCACUAUCUGGAAGUCGAAACUAAAAUGCCAUUCAGUUAGUGUUUCUUGCUGGAUUUUUAACUUGCCCUACUACUAAGAUUUAGAUUUUUGGAAACAACCUCAUCAAGUUGCCUCCAACUUUGGGAACAACUUGUCAAGUUGUUUCCAUUGUUAGAAGCAACUUGUGCUAGUUGCUUCCUUUAUCUGGAGACAACUUGUAUAUGUUAUAAACACCAACUCGUAACUUGUAUAUGUUAUAAACACCACUUGAUAUUCUGGUGGUGUUUCUGAGAUGAAUCUCAAGAUUCUUAGAAAAUGGGUU